rnacentral:rRNA from 1 species
GAACGCUGGCGGCGUGCCUAAUACAUGCAAGUCGAACGAAACUUCUUUAUCACCGAGUGCUUGCACUCACCGAUAAAGAGUUGAGUGGCGAACGGGUGAGUAACACGUGGGCAACCUGCCCAAAAGAGGGGGAUAACACUUGGAAACAGGUGCUAAUACCGCAUAACCAUAGUUACCGCAUGGUAACUAUGUAAAAGGUGGCUAUACUACCGCUUUUGGAUGGGCCCGCGGCGCAUUAGCUAGUUGGUAGGGUAAAGGCUUACCAAGGCAAUGAUGCGUAGCCGAAUUGAGAGGUUGAUCGGCCACAUUGGGACUGAGACACGGCCCAAACUCCUACGGGAGGCAGCAGUAGGGAAUCUUCCACAAUGGGCGAAAGCCUGAUGGAGCAACGCCGCGUGGGUGAAGAAGGUCUUCGGAUCGUAAAACCCUGUUGUUAGAGAAGAAAGUGCGUGAGAGUAACUGUUCACGUUUCGACGGUAUCUAACCGGAAAGCCACGGCUAACUACGUG